rnacentral:misc_RNA from 1 species
GAUGAAGAACUUAGCGAAAUGCGAUAAGUAAUGUGAAUUGCAGAAUUCAGUGAAUCAUCGAAUCUUUGAACGCACAUUGCGCCCGGCAGUACUCUGCCGGGCAUGCCUGUUCGAGCGUCAUUUCAACCCUCAAGCCCUGCUUGGUGUUGGGGCCCCACGGCUGCCGUGGGCCCUGAAAGGAAGUGGCGGGCUCGCUACAACUCCGAGCGUAGUAAUUCAUUAUCUCGCUUAGGGCGUUGGGCGGCGCUCCAGCCGUUAAAGAACCAUCUUUAACUCAAGGUUGACCUCGGAUCAGGUAGGAAUACCCGCUGAACUUAAGCAUAUCAAUAAGCGGAGGA